rnacentral:rRNA from 1 species
CAUGGGCAGGUUGAAGGUUGGGUAACACUAACUGGAGGACCGAACCGACUAAUGUUGAAAAAUUAGCGGAUGACCUGUGGCUGGGGGUGAAAGGCCAAUCAAACCGGGAGAUAGCUGGUUCUCCCCGAAAGCUAUUUAGGUAGCGCCUCGUGAAAUCAUCUCCGGGGGUAGAGCACUGUUUCGGCCAGGGGGCCAUCCCGGCUUACCAACCCGAUGCAAACUGCGAAUACCGGAGAAUGUUAUCACGGGAGACACACGGCGGGUGCUAACGUCCGUCGUGAAGAGGGAAACAACCCAGACCGCCAGCUAAGGUCCCAAAGUCAUGGUUAAGUGGGAAACGAUGUGGGAAGGCCCAGACAGCCAGGAUGUUGGCUUAGAAGCAGCCAUCAUUUAAAGAAAGCGUAAUAGCUCACUGGUCGAGUCGGCCUGCGCGGAAGAUGUAACGGGGCUAAACCAUGCACCGAAGCUGCGGCAGCGACACUGUGUGUUGUUGGGUAGGGGAGCGUUCUGUAAGCCUGCGAAGGUGGCCUGUGAGGGUUGCUGGAGGUAUCAGAAGUGCGAAUGCUGACAUAAGUAACGAUAAUGCGGGUGAAAAACCCGCACGCCGGAAGACCAAGGGUUCCUGUCCAACGUUAAUCGGGGCAGGGUGAGUCGACCCCUAAGGCGAGGCCGAAAGGCGUAGUCGAUGGGAAACAGGUUAAUAUUCCUGUACCUGGUGUUACUGCGAAGGGGGGACGGAGAAGGCUAUGUUGGCCGGGCGACGGUUGUCCCGGUUUAAGCGUGUAGGCUGGUUUUCCAGGCAAAUCCGGAAAAUCAAGGCUGAGGCGUGACGACGAGGCACUACGGUGCUGAAGCAACAAAUGCCCUGCUUCCAGGAAAAGCCUCUAAGCCUCAGGUAACAUCAGAUCGUACCCGAAACCGACACAGGUGGUCAGGUAGAGAAUACCAAGGCGCUUGAGAGAACCCGGGUGAAGGAACUAGGCAAAAUGGUGCCGUAACUUCGGGAGAAGGCACGCUGACACGUAGGUGAAGCGGUUUACCCGUGAAGCCGAAGUCAGUCGAAGAUACCAGCUGGCUGCAACUGUUUAUUAAAAACACAGCACUGUGCAAACACGAAAGUGGACGUAUACGGUGUGACGCCUGCCCGGUGCCGGAAGGUUAAUUGAUGGGGUCAGCGCAAGCGAAGCUCCUGAUCGAAGCCCCGGUAAACGGCGGCCGUAACUAUAACGGUCCUAAGGUAGCGAAAUUCCUUGUCGGGUAAGUUCCGACCUGCACGAAUGGCGUAAUGAUGGCCAGGCUGUCUCCACCCGGGACUCAGUGAAAUUGAACUCGCUGUGAAGAUGCAGUGUACCCGCGGCAAGACGGAAAGACCCCGUGAACCUUUACUAUAGCUUGACACUGAACACUGGUCCUUGAUGUGCAGGAUAGGUGGGAGGCUUUGAAGUGUGGACGCCAGUCUGCAUGGAGCCGUCCUUGAAAUACCACCCUUUAAUGGCUGGUGUUCUAACGUAGACCCGUGAACCGGGUUGCGGACAGUGUCUGGUGGGUAGUUUGACUGGGGCGGUCUCCUCCUAAAGCGUAACGGAGGAGCACGAAGGUUGGCUAAUCCUGGUCGGACAUCAGGAGGUUAGUGCAAUGGCAUAAGCCAGCUUGACUGCGAGCGUGACGGCGCGAGCAGGUGCGAAAGCAGGUCAUAGUGAUCCGGUGGUUCUGAAUGGAAGGGCCAUCGCUCAACGGAUAAAAGGUACUCCGGGGAUAACAGGCUGAUACCGCCCAAGAGUUCAUAUCGACGGCGGUGUUUGGCACCUCGAUGUCGGCUCAUCACAUCCUGGGGCUGAAGUAGGUCCCAAGGGUAUGGCUGUUCGCCAUUUAAAGUGGUACGCGAGCUGGGUUUAGAACGUCGUGAGACAGUUCGGUCCCUAUCUGCCGUGGGCGCUGGAGAACUGAGGGGGGCUGCUCCUAGUACGAGAGGACCGGAGUGGACGCAUCACUGGUGUUCGGGUUGUCAUGCCAAUGGCACUGCCCGGUAGCUAAAUGCGGAAGAGAUAAGUGCUGAAAGCAUCUAAGCACGAAACUUGCCCCGAGAUGAGUUCUCCCUGAGACUACAAGUCUCCUGAAGGAACGUUGAAGACGACGACGUUGAUAGGCCGGGUGUGUAAGCGCAGCGAUGCGUUGAGCUAACCGGUACUAAUGAACCGUGAGGCUUAACCUUACAACGCCGAAG